CUUGACAGAAGCGUGUGUUUACAAAAGGAUUUUAGUAGUGAAGCGUUAUUGCUUUGUUUGCCUGCUACAGAACAGUGAACUGUGAACGAGUCCCUUUGCAAGGGAUGAUUAUUGUUGAAUAUGAGGAAGGGAAAGGAAAGACACAGUCUGAGGAGACUACUUCAGUGGCACACCUUGAAGACAAAUAAGACUUAUCACACUCUUCCAGCUGUCUGGCAUGUGUUUGCAUUCAUAGCAACCUGCUGCAGUAUGGAGACAAGAUUCUCUCUGCUGCUGAAAGAAGAUAUGGAGCUGGUUGUUCUGAGUGUGUAGCUGCCUUGGGCCACCCAUGCAACUCCCUGUGCAGGCAAGGAAGACUUAGGAUGAGGCUAGCAGAGCCUACUGGAAAUGUCAGUUUGACAGACAAAUAAAAUUACAGCAUAUAUGUAUGUGCAUGCAUGUUUGCAUGUUGCACUUCUGUGUGUAUAUGUAGGUGUGAAGACAUUAAGCCUAACAGAAUGUUCUUGGUUGAACUUUUAGAAAUUAAAAUAUUGUUUUUUCUACACUGAAGAAUUUACAGACAGUGGUAGGUAACUAUUUUGAAAUUCUUUAUGGCAAGGUAAUCUUUUAGAUGGAAGAGGAUGGUUCCUUGGAUAUCAAAGACCUAUUUAGGUUCAAUACAGACAAGCAGAAGAAUGGCCCGGCCAGCAUAAAGUGGUGGUCAAAAAAAAAAAAAAAGACAACCCCAACAUAGUGGUUUGGUCUAGGCCUUCCUGGCAACCAGGUCGAAACUAGGGAAGUGGCCAUAUCCCAGUAUUCCAUUCUAUUUGUUUACGUAAGCAAAAGUAUUAAUGCAAGGGGGAAGGAAGUUAGAGGUCAGACCUUUUCCGUUGGGAUUGGAGAGAAGAGGUAGCCCCUCUGAGCUCCUGGUGUCAAAGUGUAGGCCUUGGGAGGCGGCGGCAGCGGUGGCGGCGGUGGCGCGGUUCCGCUUUCUUAAGGGAAGUGUUAAGAUUCUUUUGUUUGCUAGCUCUCUAUAUGCUGUGUAUAUCUGCGUAUAUCGGUUUUUCUGUUUUGGUUUUGGGGUGUUGGUUUUUUUUUUUUCUUAUAUGGAAAUAGGUUUUUUUUGUAAUUGUAUAUAAGUUUAGAUAUAUAUAUGUACUGCUUCAGUUCAGUUUA